CAGGAAUUAUCUAUAGAGUAAGUAUGCUAAUCUUGACUAAGACUGCAGGAGUUUUUUUUAAACCAUCAAAAAGGAAAGUUUAUGAAUUUUUAAGAAGUUUUAAUUUUCAUCCUGGAACACUAUUUCUUCAUAAAAUAGUAUUGGGAAUUGAAACUAGUUGUGAUGAUACAGCAGCUGCUGUGGUGGAUGAAACUGGAAAUGUGUUGGGAGAAGCAAUACAUUCCCAAACUGAAGUUCAUUUAAAAACAGGUGGGAUUGUUCCUCCAGCAGCUCAACAGCUUCACAGAGAAAAUAUUCAACGAAUAGUACAAGAAGCUCUUUCUGCCAGUGGAGUCUCUCCAAGUGACCUCUCAGCAAUUGCAACUACCAUAAAACCAGGACUUGCUUUAAGCCUGGGAGUGGGCUUAUCAUUUAGCUUACAGCUGGUAGGACAGUUAAAAAAGCCAUUCAUUCCCAUUCAUCAUAUGGAGGCUCAUGCACUUACUAUUAGGUUGACCAAUAAAGUAGAAUUUCCUUUUUUAGUUCUUUUGAUUUCUGGAGGUCACUGUCUGUUGGCAUUAGUUCAAGGAGUUUCAGAUUUUCUGCUUCUUGGAAAGUCUUUGGACAUAGCACCAGGUGACAUGCUUGACAAGGUGGCAAGAAGACUUUCUUUAAUAAAACAUCCAGAGUGCUCCACCAUGAGUGGUGGGAAAGCCAUAGAACAUUUGGCCAAACAAGGAAAUAGAUUUCAUUUUGACAUCAAACCUCCCUUGCAUCAUGCUAAAAAUUGUGAUUUUUCUUUUACUGGACUUCAACACGUUACUGAUAAAAUAAUAAUGAAAAAGGAAAAAGAGGAAGGUAUAUUUCUAAUUAGUAAAGUUGAACAGAUAAAUAUUCCUGGAUUGUGCCUAAAAAUAGCUGCUCAUUUCUGCAGGUAUUGAGAAGGGGCAAAUCCUGUCUUCAGCAGCAGACAUUGCUGCCACAGUACAGCACACAAUGGCAUGUCAUCUUGUGAAAAGAACACAUCGGGCUAUUCUGUUUUGUAAGCAGAGAGACUUGUUACCUCAAAAUAAUGCAGUACUGGUUGCAUCUGGUGGUGUCGCAAGUAACUUCUAUAUCCGCAGAGCUCUGGAAAUUUUAACAAAUGCAACACAGUGCACUUUGUUGUGUCCUCCUCCCAGACUAUGCACUGAUAAUGGCAUUAUGAUUGCAUGGAAUGGUAUUGAAAGACUACGUGCUGGCUUGGGCAUUUUACAUGACAUAGAAGGCAUCCGCUAUGAACCAAAAUGUCCUCUUGGAGUAGACAUAUCAAAAGAAGUUGGAGAAGCUUCCAUAAAAGUACCACAAUUAAAAAUGGAGAUAUGAUUUCUGCUGUUCAAAAAAGUCCCUAAAGGUAGUAUUAAGGUUAA
rnacentral:lncRNA from 1 species